GCGGUGGAGCAUGUGGUUAAUUCGACGCAACGCGAAGAACCUUACCAGGGCUUGACAUCCCCUGACCGCGUAUGAAAGUACGUUUUCACCCUCGGGUGACAGGGAGACAGGUGGUGCAUGGUUGUCGUCAGCUCGUGUCGUGAGAUGUUGGGUUAAGUCCCGCAACGAGCGCAACCCCUACGUUUAGUUGCUAACGCGUGAAGGCGAGCACUCUAGACGAACUGCCGUUGACAAAACGGAGGAAGGUGGGAUGACGUCAAAUCAUCAUGCCCCUUAUGUUCUGGGCUACACACGUGCUACAAUGGCCGGUACAGACGGACGCAAAGCCGCGAGGUGGAGCAAAUCCUAAAAAGCCGGUCUCAGUUCGGAUUGCAGGCUGCAAUUCGCCUGCAUGAAGUCGGAAUCGCUAGUAAUCGCAGGUCAGCAUACUGCGGUCGAAUACGUUCCCGGGCCUU
rnacentral:rRNA from 1 species